UACGAAGGGGCUAGCGUUGCUCGGAAUUACUGGGCGUAAAGGGAGCGUAGGCGGACAUUUAAGUCAGGGGUGAAAUCCCGGGGCUCAACCUCGGAAUUGCCUUUGAUACUGGGUGUCUUGAGUAUGAGAGAGGUGUGUGGAACUCCGAGUGUAGAGGUGAAAUUCGUAGAUAUUCGGAAGAACACCAGUGGCGAAGGCGACGCACUGGCUCAUUACUGACGCUGAGGCUCGAAAGCGUGGGGAGCAAACAGGAUUAGAUACCCGUGUAGUCCCU
rnacentral:rRNA from 1 species